CCUACGGGAGGCAGCAGUGAGGAAUAUUGGUCAAUGGACGAGAGCCUGAACCAGCCAAGUCGCGUGAAGGAUGACUGCCCUAUGGGUUGUAAACUUCUUUUAUAUGGGAAUAAAAUGGUCCACGUGUGGGUUUUUGUAUGUACCAUAUGAAUAAGGAUCGACUAACUCCGUGCCAGCGGCCGCGGUAAUACGGAGGGUCCGAGCGUUAUCCGGAUUUAUUGGGUUUAAAGGGUGCGUAGGCGGACUGUUAAGUCAGUGGUAAAAGCCAGGGGCUCAACCCCGACGAGCCGUUGAAACUGGCUGUCUUGAGAGGUCGAGAGGUAUGCGGAAUGCGCAGUGUAGCGGUGAAAUGCUUAGAUAUAGCGCAGAACUCCGAUUGCGAAGGCAGCAUACCGG
rnacentral:rRNA from 1 species